rnacentral:rRNA from 1 species
AUUGAACGCUGGCGGCAGGCCUAACACAUGCAAGUCGAACGAGUGGCGGACGGGUGAGUAAUGUCUGGGAAACUGCCUGAUGGAGGGGGCUAACUACUGGAAACGGUAGCUAAUACCGCAUACCCUCGGAUGUGCCCAGAUGGGAUUAGCGAGUAGGUGGGGUAACGGCUCACCUAGGCGACGAUCCCUAGCUGGUCUGAGAGGUUGAACAGCCACACUGGAAUGGAGACACGGUCCAGACUCCUACGUGAGGCAGCAGUGGGGAAUAUUGCACGAUGGGCGCAAGCCUGAUUCAGCCAUGCCGCGUGUAUGAAGAAGGCCUUCGGGUUGUAAAGUACUUUCAGCGGGGAGGCGUUACCCGCAGAAGAAGCACCGGCUAACUCCGUGCCAGCAGCCGCGGUAAUAC